rnacentral:lncRNA from 1 species
AAAAAGUCAGGUAGGUAUUAUUUAAAAUAAAAAAUAAUUACACUUGUAUGCAUUGUCAAGAUUUUUAAUCGACUAAAUCAAGUAUAGUUAAGCAUCACGUUUAUGAAUUAUAUGACCAAAUAAAAUAAUUUUGACUUGAAACAACAAAUGUUUUAUCAACUACUUAAAAUAACAAAAGGUAUACGUGAUUUACUGAAUUUCACACAGUUUACAAAAUUUACCAAAAACUACAGUAACUAAAAGAUUAAUCCAAAUAGCUAAUUUUUAUGCCCUUU